UGCAUAGGAAACUGCCCGGUAGUGGGGAUAACCUGGGGAAACCCAGGCUAAUACCGCAUACGUCCUACGGGAGAAAGCAGGGGCUCUUCGGACCUUGCGCUAUCGGAUGUGCCUAUGUCGGAUUAGCUAGUUGGUGAGGUAACGGCUCACCAAGGCGACGAUCCGUAGCUGGUCUGAGAGGAUGAUCAGCCACACUGGGACUGAGACACGGCCCAGACUCCUACGGGAGGCAGCAGUGGGGAAUAUUGGACAAUGGGCGAAAAGCCUGAUCCAGCCAUGCCGCGUGUGUGAAGAAGGCUU
rnacentral:rRNA from 1 species